GACCUGGUUCAAGAACAGACGAGCUAAAGAAUGUCGGAAGAGUUCACAACUCCCUCGGAGAAUUGGAAGUGGACCUCACUAUAGGCCUACUUCCAGGAGUGGCGGUGAAGUUCCUGAUUUCGCUGCCAGUCCAGAUUCUGUGUGCCAGAGACAUGUGGAUGUCAGCUAUCCUCCUGAGUUUAGACCAUCAAGGAACUCCCCUCACCAGGAAUUCAACUCUUCCCUCAUUGAUCAACCCUUGGAAGACAUGUGUUUCAGCAAGAGCCACAUUAUCUCGGAGCAUCAAAGGCAGAAAUGUAGAGAACUUUCCAGGGAACCGGGGCACCUAUCUAGUGAUAGGUCUGGCUGUUCCAACGUUCUUUCCUCACCUUCUCCACCAGCCAGUGCUGAAUCUUCGUGUGUCAUACCCUCGGGAUUAAGCCUUUCUCCUCAACUCGGACCUCCAAAUAUGACCCAAAACUCAGAAUCCACCUUCUCCAUGUGCCAGACACCAUCGGUUUUGAGCCCUCUUCCUGAACUCAGCCCCUUGAGUAAUUCCCUAGACCAGAUGGCCAUCUUUUCCAAAAUUGAUCAGGUCUGUGAAAUCUAUCAAAAGAAUACAAGGUCUAAGAAGCAAAGGAAGGAGACGGAGAAGAACACAGUGCAAACUUUGAUGCAUGGCCAGGAUUCCUGUGAAAUAGAUGAAAGCCCUAAAGGCACUGUCUCUCUGCCAAGCUCUGCCUAU
rnacentral:lncRNA from 1 species